AAGACCCAGGCCGGCGUUUGGGGAGGCCUCGCGCGCUGGAGUGUAGGUGGGAGGAGACACCCCAGGAGAGCCCCGCUCGGGAGACUAUUUCGGAAACGCACGAAGAAGGAAAGGCCCGUACUGGGGCGACGGCACCUGGUAAGGCGAGCUCACGGAGGUUGAGUCCUCUCCACGGUUAUAGCAAAGGCCACGCUAGUUCCCUUCCUAUGGCCUGGAACCGCUUCAAACCAGACCUUGGUAACUACAAAAGGAUUCAACUUGGAGAGUUCCAAAAAGGCCGAUUUCUGCAAAGCUGAGCCACAAAACCCUUUAUGUGCCCAAGACACUGAGGUUGGGCAGAGAAGCUAAGGUUUAUAGAAGUGGGACUUUUGAGAAGAGUAUUAAAACAUUCUCUUACAUUUCCUUU